rnacentral:lncRNA from 1 species
AGAUAUCUAAUAAUAGGAUCUUCCAAGUCGGAGCUACAAGCCCUCUCAUCAACCCGAAAAGGCAGGAAGACGGAGAGCUUAAUAGGCGUCGUGAAGUACCCUCGGCGGGGGGUUUGGGGUAUCUAUAGCAACCAGGUCGUCUGGGCACAGGGGGUAACGCGCCUUACCACUUGGCAGGAGAAUGAGUUCACCACAACGACCUCUUUGUUCUCUGAUAUGCUGGACAACUUGCAUGGGACCUCGCUGACGGUCGUCACGUUUCCCUGGGAACCGAGUGUUAUCUACAAGGAAGGCAAGAAAGAGGGAAACCCAUACCGCUACGGGAGAGACAUAGCGGUCGUCGAGACAUUGGCAAAGGUUAUGAAUUUCACUCCUACGUACACUGAGCCCCCU